UGACCUUCCAUAAGGUGGGUGGUCCUCAUUCAAUCAGUUCAAGGCCUUAAAAGCAAAAACUGAGAUUUUCCAAAGAAGAAGAGAUUCUCCUCAAGACCACACGUAGGAACCUGCCUGAGUUUCCAGCCUGCUGCUCUGCAGAAUUCACUCAUGACCGUAAUAUCAGCUCUUACCCGAAUCUCCAGCCUGCCGGCCUGCCCUGCAGAUUUCAGACUUGCCAACCCCCACAGUUGGUGAACCAAUUCCUUAAAAUAAAGGAAUCUGUUCCCCCCAUAAGAAUGGGACUUCAUCACCAUGAAGGGCGACGUGAGCGGGCCCUGGAGCCUUUUGUUAACUCCGCGCCUGCAUCUCCCUCUGUAAAAUGAGACCCUGUGCCCACACAGGACGAUGGAGAGGACCGGUUGAGACUGCCCAGGCAGAGCACUUCACAGACUACACCGUCAGUAAAUGCUGGAAAAAGAAAGCCCUAUGACCCCUGCUCUUCAGGAGGAAACAGAACAACCGGCCUUGUCAAAUUUGCUCUUAUAGCAUCGAAGAAGGCAGGAGAAGCGAGUGGCAGUGGUAUGAUCUGCAGGGGGCACCGGCUCUGCUCUGGAGUGCUGGGUCUGGUCAGCGGGAAUGCUGGCCUCUGGCUGAAGGCUUCAGCCUAUAAUAUUGCACUUCACCACCUGUCGCCCAGGCUUAUUAGUCCACGGCAGCAAAUGGACAUGCCUAAUGACAGACGCAGCCCUGUGUGCAGACCGUGAGGGCCUGAGGCUGGUUCCAAAAACAAUGUCCACCCAGAGGAUGGAGACAGGCUGGCCAAUCCAUUCUCAGGCUGGAAAGGAGGCCUGCGGCUCUGGACAGAUGGCUCUGACCUCUUUUGUCCUGCUCAGCCCGGGAGGAAUUGUCCUUCUGUGCAUGGAGCUCAUUCUCUUGCCCUUCUUCAACAAACCAGUGAAGAAAUCCUCCUGGUUUUGAAUAUAUAGUGGAAAGGGGGGAGGGCAAUUUGUAAGCCUCCUUAGGAGGGUGGGUCCUGCUCAAUGACAGUCCCUUCUGGAUACGCCACAGUGGCUGGGAGCUGGAUUGGAGAAGAGGAUCUGGGCACUAGAGAAAGCAAAGAGGGG
rnacentral:lncRNA from 1 species